GUCUAGAAUUUGCAGUUGGAGUUGAAAUGAGGAAUACACAGAACCAUCACAGAAAACAGAAACACAGUUGACCCUUGAAGAACACACAUUUUGAACUAUGGCCCAGUUACAAGUGGAUUUUUUCAGGAAAAUUACACCGUGUCUGUCUGCCUCUCCUGCCUCCUCUUCCACCUCCUCCACCUCUUCUGCCUCUGCCAACCCUGUGACAGCAAGAACAACCCCUCCACUUUUUCCUCCUCUUCAGCCCAUUCAAUGUGAAGAAAAGGAUGAAGAUCUUUACAAUGAUCAACUUCUAUUUAAUGAAAGGGUUCAUCUUCUGGCACUCUCUGUUGUCUGACGUCUGGAAGCAUUUGUUUCAUGUAUUUGUUGAUUUUCAAGUUCUUUCCAGUAGAAGUAAAAAGGUAAUUUUCACAUUAAUUAAAUUACCCCAUUAUGUAUGGAAAGCAGAAAUUCUCUUAUAAAAACAUAUUCAGUCAAUAAUGUUAUUUUGCUUAAACCUACAAAUGUAUACUAUUUUUAGGCAGCAAUAUUUUGAAAAUAACUACUUUGUAGUUCCAACAGUAUUAAUCAAUAAAUCAAGCAAGAAAGAAGCAUUUCAAAAAUAUUAGGUACUAAUUGAUUUAAUACCAUAUUUCACGAUCAAGAGUGUCCCCAUUUAAGUGAUAUAUUAUAUGGUUAUCCUAUUUUUAAGUCUGUUAAAAGUUGUUUCAAAUCUCCACUGUUGCAUACUUGCAUGUGAAAAUUACCAAUGUGGAUUGUGUUAAACUGACAACUCAAAUGUCACAAAGUCUCUGUCAUAUGUGUUUUAUGGAUUGCUUCAAUGGUUAAUAACUUUAGAUAAUGUCAUAGAAGUGAAAUACAGUAUCU
rnacentral:lncRNA from 1 species